rnacentral:rRNA from 1 species
UACGAAGGGUGCAAGCGUUACUCGGAAUUACUGGGCGUAAAGCGUGCGUAGGUGGUCGUUUAAGUCCGUUGUGAAAGCCCUGGGCUCAACCUGGGAACUGCAGUGGAUACUGGGCGACUAGAGUGUGGUAGAGGGUAGCGGAAUUCCUGGUGUAGCAGUGAAAUGCGUAGAGAUCAGGAGGAACAUCCAUGGCGAAGGCAGCUACCUGGACCAACACUGACACUGAGGCACGAAAGCGUGGGGAGUAAACAGG